rnacentral:lncRNA from 1 species
AUCUGCUGCUCCCUAGCAGCAAGGUAUUUCUCUCUUUCUUCUCUUCGUUCCUUUGCUAGCCUUUGUCUUUCAUCAGUUUUGAGAAAUCCAUCAAUGGCUGCCGCUCGCGGGGAGCCCCGCGCCGCCCCCGGCUCCGCCAUCUUCCUCCGGCCGGCGGCCCCCACCGACUCGGUUCGGCGCUUCGAUCCGCUCCGCGGCGCCCCGCGGCCGCCGCACAGGCGCACUGCCCGUCCCGCGACACCUGACUCCGCGCGGCGGGGAGGAGCGGGACUG